UGAGGAAUAUUGGUCAAUGGUCGGGUAGACUGAACCAGCCAAGCCGCGUGAGGGAUGAAGGUGCUAAGCAUUGUAAAACCUCUUUUGUCAGGGAACAAAGGCAUCCACGAGUGGAUGUGUGAGUGUACCU
rnacentral:rRNA from 1 species